AUGUUGCCUGUUUUUAAUUGUCCUCAGGUCGCUGAGUAUCCACCAUGUGCAAAGCUUCAGCAGAGGAGCACAAUGAAGAAACAGACCUACAGAAGUGAAAUGAAUUUUCCUGAAGUCAUUUACACUAAGUCUUAUAGAAGAAUGACUGCGUUUAUGGGCAACACUACAAAACAAAAUGUAAGGUUGUUUUUGAAUAUAAGUACCUAUUAUUUAAGUGUUACUGGGUGCUAACGAAGGAAACAAUCCACAAAACUAAAAGGCAACUUAUGGAAUGGGAGAAGGUAUUUGCAGACGCAUAUCUGAUAGAGGCUUAGUAUUCAACAUAUAUAACGAACUUAUACAUGUUCUUAUACAUGUUUUAUACAUGUACUUAUACAUGUUUUGAGGUUACACCCUCAAAAUAAAUAAUCCAAUUAAAAAAUGGGCA
rnacentral:lncRNA from 12 species